rnacentral:rRNA from 1 species
UACGUAGGGUCCAAGCGUUAUCCGGAAUCACUGGGCGUAGAGCGUGCGUAGGUGGAUGUUUAAGUGUGAUGUUAAAUCGUGUGGCUCAACCAUAUCGAUGCAUCGCAUACUGGACGUCUAGAGGACAGCAGAGGCAAGUGGAAUUUGUAGUGUAGCAGUGAAAUGCGUAGAUAUUACAAGGAACACCAAUGGCGAAGGCAGCUUGCUGGGCUACUCCUGACACUGAGGUACGAAAGCGUGGGGAGCGAACAGG